rnacentral:misc_RNA from 1 species
UACGGAGGGGGUUAGCGUUGUUCGGAAUUACUGGGCGUAAAGCGUACGUAGGCGGAUCAGAAAGUUGGGGGUGAAAUCCCGGGGCUCAACCCCGGAACUGCCUCCAAAACUCCUGGUCUUGAGUUCGAGAGAGGUGAGUGGAAUUCCAAGUGUAGAGGUGAAAUUCGUAGAUAUUUGGAGGAACACCAGUGGCGAAGGCGGCUCACUGGCUCGCAACUGACGCUGUGGUGCGAAAGCGUGGGGAGCAAACAGG